GCUCAACAGUUCCGCACUACUCCAACUCCUCACUGCUACAAACCCUCUGAGACCUCCAGCAAGAUACAAAGAACCAUCACUGACUGUUUUGCUGCUGCUGCUUCUCUGUUCCACAGUUGUUUUUCCUGUAUAUUGAAGUCAGUUCAAGCUUCACUGUUUCCCAUGGGACAGGACAUCAUUGUGCUGAGCCUCUUUCUUUAUACAUCUUCAAGCAACCCACUCCCAACUUCGGACUUCCCUAUGGCAUUUACCUCUUGAUGCCUGACACAUCCAGCAGUAACAUGUGGCUAAUUUUAGGGAAAUGCAGCUGUACUUGGCUAGGUCACACCAGCUGUGGUAUGUUUGGGGACAAAACAACUAUGAAAUCCUGAACAGCUUUCCCAGCAAGAAGAUUGUUUCACAAUCAAGCAGCUUCAUCAUUUUUGCCUCUAUGCUGCGAGAUAGUUUGACCUCAUUCUUCUUAUGGCUCUAAGCCCACGACAUAUGCAGCUAUGCCCAAGCAAGUUCCGUGUCCAGAAGGAUUUGAUGAUAGCUGAUCUCCAGUCCUAUAGUAGCUGUGGUAGCUACAUACAGAAAGAGAAGCAGAAUAUCUACAAACAAUAACAAGUAUCUAAAAACAAUAUUGUUGCCUUGUUUAAAAAUUAUAUAAAACCUAAAAAAAACUUGAUUUCAUUUUUUGUAUCCCGCCUCCUCUUUAUCUAGAAAUUGCCAAAAUAUGUCAUGCAUGACAGUAGGGUUAACCCAAGUCAGUUGAACUCUCAAUAAUGGCUCAUCUUUGUUUCUAAUAACUGCAAAGAACUGCUUGAUGUUCUGUUGCUUUUUAACAAGCAUCCAGUGUCAAUGGGACUUCAUUAAAGAGGGUUUUUUUACUGUAGUUCUUGCUCCAAUUAAUGUUUUGUAAUAAUCAUGCUGAAAGAGGAAAGAUAUGUCGUGUCCCAAGCCAUGAGUGGGGCAUGUGUCUCGAUGGAACUCAAGCUUUGCACCAGCAGGAGAAGGAAGAAAAUACCUGAUCCUCCCCACAGUUGCUUGGAGUUUACUAGAAAUAGGAAUGGCUGCAUUGGGCCAGAGCUAGAUUCCACUUGCUUGUUAUCUCUCAGAUGCACAGAGGAAGGACAAAAAAAGCCUUGUGUGUGUGUUGGUAUGCAUAUGUGUGUACACCCAGAUAUACUCAUAUGUGUAUAUGUCAGAGUGUCCUCAGAGGUGCAUUGUGGUGGGACAGAGACAGCAGUCAUAAGGUACAGGAAAGAAAAUUCUAAUUAGAUUAUCAGGAGAAUUUCUUCACAUCUGGAAGGGCUCAGCACUUAACUAGACAAGGGCCUGAAAAAUCAGGUUGGACUGUCUUUCUAGGGAUUAAACAUGUACCCCUCCAGGGGGUUUUCCUGCCUGAAUUAUUCUGUUUCAUAUACAUGUAUAUGCAUACACAUGCACAUUCACAUUUAAAGUUCUAAAAUAUAUGAAGAUACAUAUAUGCAUGUGUGUGGCACAUUCCCUCUUCAUAUUCUCUAUGGAAAAUUGUGACUUAACUUGUUGCACUGUUGGCUAGUCUUUUCAGAGAAAAGAGAGAAGAUCUUUGGGACAGGACCCUCCAAACACACAUGUUCAGCAGUGCUAUUCAUGCAAAUUACCUCUGAACUGAGUGGGGUUCCUGGCAUUCUCAUGCAAAGGUGUGAGAGACCUAUUUUAGAACUAUAAUUUGUGGGAAUGGGUCUGGCUGGGGAUCCAAGCCAGCUGAACUUCACCCAGAAAAAAACAGGCACUAAAUUCAAGCCUUGGAAAACAUUCAUUUAAAUUAUGGCAAAAAGAAAGAGUUUAUGGCAGUUAAUAUGUUAAUCAAGCCACCCUGUAUAAGGUUAUGUUUCUAAAAUGUUCCCAGUUCUCUCCUCUGAUUGGUUGUUUUUGUCACAGUAUUUUGCAUAUUUGUAACCCCAGUUUGUGAUUGGACCCAUGCCCUCAGAUGCCGCCCUCAGACCUACCCUAUAUAUUGUUGUCUCCACCCCUAGUCCUAUCUUUGGCAUUUGUCCCUGAACUGUGUAUGGUUUAUGGGCUUCAUCCCUAUUUCAUUUCUCAUUAAAGUGUUUCUUUUUCGGGCACUCCAUUGUACUUGCUCCUUUUACUUGU